UAUCUGAACCUUCGNGGGAACGAUAACGGCGUCGAGCGGCGGACGGGUGAGUAAUGCCUAGGAAAUUGCCCUGAUGUGGGGGAUAACCAUUGGAAACGAUGGCUAAUACCGCAUGAUGCCUACGGGCCAAAGAGGGGGACCUUCGGGCCUCUCGCGUCAGGAUAUGCCUAGGUGGGAUUAGCUAGUUGGUGAGGUAAGGGCUCACCAAGGCGACGAUCCCUAGCUGGUCUGAGAGGAUGAUCAGCCACACUGGAACUGAGACACGGUCCAGACUCCUACGGGAGGCAGCAGUGGGGAAUAUUGCACAAUGGGCGCAAGCCUGAUGCAGCCAUGCCGCGUGUGUGAAGAAGGCCUUCGGGUUGUAAAGCACUUUCAGUCGUGAGGAAGGUAGUGUAGUUAAUAGCUGCAUUAUUUGACGUUAGCGACAGAAGAAGCACCGGCUAACUCCGUGCCAGCAGCCGCGGUAAUACGGAGGGUGCGAGCGUUAAUCGGAAUUACUGGGCGUAAAGCGCAUGCAGGUGGUUUGUUAAGUCAGAUGUGAAAGCCCGGGGCUCAACCUCGGAAUAGCAUUUGAAACUGGCAGACUAGAGUACUGUAGAGGGGGGUAGAAUUUCAGGUGUAGCGGUGAAAUGCGUAGAGAUCUGAAGGAAUACCGGUGGCGAAGGCGGCCCCCUGGACAGAUACUGACACUCAGAUGCGAAAGCGUGGGGAGCAAACAGGAUUAGAUACCCUGGUAGUCCACGCCGUAAACGAUGUCUACUUGGAGGUUGUGGCCUUGAGCCGUGGCUUUCGGAGCUAACGCGUUAAGUAGACCGCCUGGGGAGUACGGUCGCAAGAUUAAAACUCAAAUGAAUUGACGGGGGCCCGCACAAGCGGUGGAGCAUGUGGUUUAAUUCGAUGCAACGCGAAGAACCUUACCUACUCUUGACAUCCAGAGAACUUUCCAGAGAUGGAUUGGUGCCUUCGGGAACUCUGAGACAGGUGCUGCAUGGCUGUCGUCAGCUCGUGUUGUGAAAUGUUGGGUUAAGUCCCGCAACGAGCGCAACCCUUAUCCUUGUUUGCCAGCGAGUAAUGUCGGGAACUCCAGGGAGACUGCCGGUGAUAAACCGGAGGAAGGUGGGGACGACGUCAAGUCAUCAUGGCCCUUACGAGUAGGGCUACACACGUGCUACAAUGGCGCAUACAGAGGGCGGCCAACUUGCGAAAGUGAGCGAAUCCCAAAAAGUGCGUCGUAGUCCCGGAUUGGAGUCUGCAACUCGACUCCAUGAAGUCGGAAUCGCUAGUAAUCGUGGAUCAGAAUGCCACGGUGAAUACGUUCCCGGGCCUUGUACACACCGCCCGUCACACCAUGGGAGUGGGCUGCAACAGAGACGCUGAGG
rnacentral:rRNA from 1 species